AGCUCUGUGGCGCAAUGGACAGCGCAUUGGACAUCUAGGACAGAUGAAGGCAUUUAAAGGUUGUGGGUUCGAGUCCCACCAGAGUCA
rnacentral:tRNA from 1 species